GUACACCGCCGAAACCGUGGCAUUCAGUUUUGCUGGAUGGGUAGGGGAGCGUCGUUCACGAGGUGAAGCCAGCGGGUAACUUCUGGUGGAUUGUGGACGAGUGAGAAUGCAGGCAUGAGUAGCGAAAGACGGGUGAGAAACCCGUCCGCCGGAUGACUAAGGGUUCCAGGGUCAAGCUAAUCUGCCCUGGGUAAGUCGGGACCUAAGGCGAGGCCGACAGGCGUAGUCGAUGGACAACGGGUUGAUAUUCCCGUACCAGUGAAGAACCGUCCAUGUUGAGCCGGUGAUACUAACCGCCCGAACCAUCCCGAACCUCGUCUUUGACGGGGUCGGUGAUGGGGAGCGCGGGACCUGAACCGGGGAGGCAAGCGCAUUAACAGGUGUGACGCAGGAAGGUAGCCGGGCCGGGCAAUGGAAAUGACCUGGUCUAAGGGUGUAGGGCUGCCGGUAGGUAAAUCCGCCGGCUGUAUGCCUGAGACCUGAUGGGCGCCCACAUGGUGGGUGAUCCGGUGAUCCUAUGCUGCCUAGAAAAGCAUCGGCGUGAGGUUCAAACUGCCCGUACCCUAAACCGACACAGGUGGUCAGGUAGAGAAUACUAAGGCGAUCGAGAGAAUCAUGGUUAAGGAACUCGGCAAAAUGCCCCCGUAACUUCGGGAGAAGGGGGGCCCCAACCUUGAGCACCACGUGCUGGUGUGAGGGGAUCGGGGCCGCAGAGACCAGGGGGAAGCGACUGUUUAUCAAAAACACAGGUCCAUGCGAAGUCGUAAGACGAUGUAUAUGGACUGACUCCUGCCCGGUGCUGGAAGGUUAAGGGGACCCGUUAGCUUCGGCGAAGCGGAGAACUUAAGCCCCAGUAAACGGCGGUGGUAACUAUAACCAUCCUAAGGUAGCGAAAUUCCUUGUCGGGUAAGUUCCGACCUGCACGAAUGGAGUAACGACUUCCCCGCUGUCUCAACCAUGAACUCGGCGAAAUUGCAUUACGAGUAAAGAUGCUCGUUACGCGCAGAAGGACGGAAAGACCCCGUGACCUUUACUAUAGUUUGGUAUUGGUAUUCGGUGUGACUUGUGUAGGAUAGGUGGGAGACUGUGAAGCGGGCACGCCAGUGUUCGUGGAGUCGCCGUUGAAAUACCACUCUGGUCACUCUGGAUAUCUAACUUCGGCCCGUGAUCCGGGUCAGGGACAGUGCCUGAUGGGUAGUUUAACUGGGGCGGUUGCCUCCUAAAAUGUAACGGAGGCGCCCAAAGGUUCCCUCAGCCUGGUUGGCAAUCAGGUGUCGAGUGCAAGUGCACAAGGGAGCUUGACUGUGAGAGUGGCAGCUCGAGCAGGGACGAAAGUCGGGACUAGUGAUCCGGCGGCUCGUUGUGGAACGGCCGUCGCUCAACGGAUAAAAGGUACCUCGGGGAUAACAGGC
rnacentral:rRNA from 1 species